AUUCGUGAGUGACCUGUGACCUUUCAAGAUGGCCGCCUAAGAGCUUGUUCAAAUCUCGUUGUUACGUUUUAGUCUCAUAAUUUCCUCGAAAAUAAUCUGAUGUUACCAAAUUUACAAGUAAUCUUUUACAGAUAAAGAACAAAUCAACUACAGAUAUGGGAUUGUUGGGGACAUCUAUAUCUUUGCUGGGCGUAUUACUGGCUGUCCUGGGCUACCUGGUGUGGACAGGUGCGGACCUCGGGCCACUCAACCCACUGGCACAAGUGGUCAAGCCUUACCUGGAACGGGUGUCCACGGAAGAACCUCCAGAGCGCCUUUUAACUCCACAACAGCUGAGUAAAUACACAGGGAAGUCAGGCAGUCCUGGUCUGUAACCCUCGGCC